UACGUAGGUGGCAAGCGUUGUCCGGAUUUAUUGGGUUUAAAGGGUGCGUAGGCGGUCAAGUAAGUCAGCGGUGAAAUCCGGCAGCUCAACUGUCGAUGUGCCAUUGAUACUGCAUGACUUGAGUACUGAUGAGGUAGGCGGAAUUGACGGUGUAGCGGUGAAAUGCUUAGAUAUGACAUAGAACACCAAUUGCGAAGGCAGCUCGCUACACGAAUAUUGACUCUGAGGCACGAAAGCGUGGGGAUCAAACAGG
rnacentral:rRNA from 1 species